AACUUUUAACUCCUCAUUAAUGUUAUUUGAAUACUUAAAAAGACUGUUGACUUUUAACCUCAUUAAUAUUUAUGCCUUUUUUUCUUGAGGGUUAAAUGUUAACCUUGGAGGGCUUAGGUUAAUAAUUACCCUCUUUAAAAGUUAAAACUUACAAAGGCAACAUUUAACAUUUAAUUUUUUUACUUUUUACCAAACAAACUCUUAUAUCACUUUCAAUUUAUUGCUUUUAAAGUCAACUUUUUCCUAUGUCCCUCUCUGCCCUUUCCUCACUUCCCUCGACUUUAUAAUUUUGAUGUAAAAUGUAAGGUUUUCCUACUCCAAAUAGCAGAGCCAUAGGCUUUAAUUGGAGUAUUUGACACAAAAUGACAGCAACAUGUUGCUGUAUAGCCAAGAACUUGAGCAAAAGGCCCGCAUAAUAUGGCUAAAUCUGUGACAACUUGAACUCCUAUCCUUUAGAUUUGCUGCCUACUGGCUUUAUCACACUUGGCAUGAACCGUAUUAAAAUGAAAAUCAAAAUACUUACAAGCUUUCAGACCCUAUUUGUGAUGCUGAUUCCCACAUGUUUAAAGCAUUUAAAUUGAGAAUAUGAUUGAGAAAAAGUGGUCGGUAUCAAAACCUACUUUGAAUAUGCAAGAAGAUUUUACUUUUUCAACAUUUGACUAGCACAUUUGAACACCUAUUAAAGGCUAUGCACAAUAUGCUCAACAAAUCUCCAUUCCCACUGAUUUUUAACAAUCUAGAUGGUGAAGGUAAAAUGGAAUAAAGAAUAAAAUUUUGAAAAUAUAGAAGCAUGGAGAAAAUAUACCUUUACAGGCAAGUAUAAAUGCAUAUUUCUUACUUGUCUCAUUCUCAACAAAAUAAUUAGCAAUGGACUCAAAAACACAAUAAAAAUGGAAAAGUACACAAGAGCAUGCCAAAAUGAUGCUCAACUUGUUAAAAGUAAGCAAAUUUCUUUUCUCAUAUUGCAGUAUACGCACCAUCAAACUAAAUCGACAGCACCAAAAUACAUCCCUCAACAGAUGUAGCUUGGGGCGUGAAAUUAACUGCAACUGCAUUGUGAUGAUAGCACAAAACAUAGCAUAGUUCUACAGAAACUGCUACAGAGUCAGAUUGUUGUCCUGAAAACCUAAUUCUAUAAGACUGAACGUGUCCAGUAAGGGUAAUUCAGUAUCACAAUUCAUUGCCACGCUAAUACAGGAUAAGGAAAAAGAGAUCAUCAUUUACCUCAAGCACAUACCGUGGAUCUUCUGAAAUUUUGAUGAAAUUAUUCAGUUAGUUUUUCUGAUCACCACGACCUACAACAUUACUCGAAAAUUUUAAUAGACGGGAAGCCCAGCAACAAAAUUGAGAAAGCCACAAAUGUAAGAAACAAACUUUGCCAGUUCAACAUUGUUAGAUGAUUUAGAUGAACAGGCAUUUGAUCAAGAAACAAACAAUGACCCUAGAGCACUGAGAAUACCCCCUUCAACAAGAAACCAAUUCAACAGUGUCAUCAUUGUAGAUAAACAACCCUUUACUAAGAAAUCCAUCCCACUAACAUAAAUUAAUGAAAGAAAGCCUGAAAGAUGCAAAACCAUCCACUUGGACUCCUUAUGCCUUGCAGGGUGAGAUUGCAUGGUUUCACACAAGAAGUUCUGAAUUGGUAGACGGAUGCCAAACUGUUGAAAACAACCAAGAAUACCCACUAUAUAAUUAUAUUCCUUACAUGAAGAAACAUACGUGCGGGAUUUCAGACAUCCUGAAAACCUAGCAUGCCUCAGACACCAUAUAGCUUGUAAUAUUGAACUACUCAAUAACUUCAGUGUAGAAGCAAGAAGAUAUAUCUUGGGGGCCUAUUUGCCCUUUUUUGAGAAAUAAAGUGCCUUUUAUAUCAUCAGAUGAACAUCCCAGUAUUAUGCAAUUUAAAAUUGAUAAAAUCUCAUCUUUAUAAGAUUCAUAAAAAAAAAAUGCAUAGUUUCUCCUUCACAUUUGCAACAGAGACAGCCAACAGGUCAGAAUUUGUUCCAGAGGACAUAUCACUUAAAUAGGAAGAUGCAAAAUUUUUUGAUUUGGCAAUCAGAUGAUGUAUCUUGUCCAUUGUGGCUUGCAGAAGAAAAGAUUCAAAAGUUGGCUGACUGCCACCAAGCGAACAUAAUUUAUCAAAAGACCCAUUACCAUCCAAAUUAUUGCUAUCAACAUACAAAUUAGACAUAUGUCUGGUGUACAAUACAACAGACCUUUUUAAUGCUGUUGAGUAUAAAUCCAUCAAUCGAACAUCCAGCAUAAUAUUCCCAGAAGCUGUGCAAGUAUCAAUUUCAGAAACCAAUAAAAUCAAAUGUGCCUGAAACAUUUUCAGAGCAGAAAGCAUAACAGGGUUGAGAAGCAAAGACAAGGAUGCUGGCAAGCUUAUUUCAGGAAUUCUGAAGUCAUCAUUAUGGCACCAAAAUAAUCUGUUGAUGAAACGUACAAAUACUAGCUCAUUGGAAACUGAUAGAAUAAAAUGAGCACAAAUCACCUCCAGCACACAUCCAAGAUUACCAUGGCCAAAGUGGAAGUUGAAUAGCAUUUCACUUCUGGAAGACGCAAAAUCAAUCAACGUAAAGUACUCUCUCAAAGAUUUAUGCACCAAAAGCUCAUCUGCAAACACCUCAAGCACUCCACAUAGAAGUGUAUAGCACGAAUCAGAAGGUUCCAACAAAGAUAUUGAAGCAAAAAACUCCUCAGUAACAUUGGCAGUACAAUCGCCAUUAACAUAAGCACAUUCAAGAGAAAUUAACCUCUUAAAAGUUAUGGAACUUUUCUCAUUUUCACCACCAGUUAACUCAAUAGAAAUCAAUCUGCUAAGUAGUACAAGAAGAAGUCUGCACUUUUCUAUGAGAAGACUUUGGUUGACUGCCAACAAAAUUAAUAGUACCAUACAACAUCUCAGCAGCAGCAUUAGUUCUUCCCUCUUUGCCCAAAUAUCUGUAAGCAAGGCAGCUUGACCACUAUCCCGAGUAGCAGAAACAUCACGUAAAGCAGAGAACAACUCCUUAAAUCUCCUGUCGAGUUCUUCAAACAAAAUAUCAGAUAGAUAAUGAUAUUCUUUAAAUUUCAACUGGAGCCCACAUUCAUCCAAGUUCUCAUCUGUGCGACUCGCAGCAGAUUCACAAUUAGACCAACUCAUAGCUGGUUUGUUCUGCGACAAAUGUACUAGCAUGGCAUACAAUAUUCUCAUGUUUGCUGGGAUUAGACCCUCUGGAGAUUGAAUUGCGGAGAUAAUAGUGUGGAGAGUAAGAGGAGGAAACUGGAUCUCUUUGGGGCGGCACUGGCCUUUCUUCUUUAGCUUUCUGGCACCCAUUUCUUUGAUUUCUACAACACAUAACCAUACAAAAGGGAAAGAUCUUGAAAA
rnacentral:misc_RNA from 1 species